rnacentral:rRNA from 1 species
CUACGGGAGGCUCCAGUGAGGAAUAUUGCACAAUGGGGGGAACCCUGAUGCAGCAACGCCGCGUGGAGGAUGACGCAUUUCGGUGUGUAAACUCCUUUUAUAUGUCAAGAAAAUGACGGUAGCAUAUGAAUAAGCGCCGGCUAACUCCGUGCCAGCAGCCGCGGUAAUACGGAGGGCGCAAGCGUUACUCGGAAUCACUGGGCGUAAAGGACGCGUAGGCGGGUUGAAAAGUCAGGUGUGAAAGCCUACAGCUUAACUGUAGAACUGCACUUGAAACUCUCAAUCUAGAGUAUGGGAGGGGCAGAUGGAAUUAGUGGUGUAGGGGUAAAAUCCGUAGAUAUCACUAGGAAUACCUAAAGCGAAGGCGAUCUGCUGGAACAUUACUGACGCUAAGGCGUGAAAGCGUGGGGAGCAAACAGGAUUAGAUACCCCUGUAGUC